rfam:Chryseobacterium sp. MOF25P AB670_contig000116, whole genome shotgun sequence.
CCUUAGCCCCGAUUGCAAUGAAAAUCCUUUUUUGAAAAAAAAGAUUGCAAUGAAAAGCGGGAAAAAGC